rnacentral:rRNA from 1 species
UACGAAGGGGGCUAGCGUUGUUCGGAAUUACUGGGCGUAAAGCGCGCGCAGGCGGUCCUUCAAGUCAGAGGUGAAAGCCCAGAGCUCAACUCUGGAACGGCCUUUGAGACUAGAGGACUUGGGUACGGGAGAGGUGAGUGGAAUUCCGAGUGUAGAGGUGAAAUUCGUAGAUAUUCGGAAGAACACCGGUGGCGAAGGCGGCUCUCUGGACCGAUACUGACGCUGAGGCGCGAAAGCGUGGGGAGCAAACAGG